rnacentral:misc_RNA from 1 species
GUUUGCUUCAACUUGGUCCUUGCUCUUCUGUUCUGAAACCAGACUUCUACUUGGCGUGGACGGAGAUUAAGCUGCUUUGCGAGUGCAAGCUUUUGUUUAGGAUUGAGAGUACUGUGUUCUUUGAAGCUUUCUUCUAGAAAAGCAGACUGUUCCUGGGAGAGCCUGAGUUUCUUCCUGGUACUACCGUUCUCAUCCUCAUCACUGGCUCUAGAAGAAGCUCUCUCAACCUCAGCUUCAUGAUUUCCACUUUUACUGUAUAUGCAGAAGUCCAUCUGAAAAGAUGAGGCAGCACUGUUGGGCGGCGAAGAUGAAAGUGCAGGCCCAUCCUCAGCCUCCCCAACAGCCGGUAGCCUAUUCACAUCUAGCCCUCUGGCCAAGUUCCCGUUAUUAUUAUCAGAAGAGGGCCAAGAAAGGGCAUGGUGGUGGUUGCCGCGAGGGACAGGAGUGUUAGGUAGAAGAUCAAGCUGGAUUAAAGGUAGAUCUACCGGGGAGAGAUGAUGAUGAUGAGUUGGUGUAUUGAUUUUGGUUGAUGCUGUAUCUUUAGAAUUAUCAUUGCUGUGUUCUUGUUCUUGGUGUUGAUUUGGACCAAUGGAUAAGGCCAUGCAAAAACUUAAGCUGCCUCUGUUAGGGACAUCACUGGAUUUUUCCAUGAACCCAAAUGGCUUUGAAGCAUCUCCUAAGCUUAAACCAAGCUCCAUCGUCUUCUUUGCAUGAGAGAGAGAGAGAGAGAGGGAGAGAGAG